rnacentral:rRNA from 1 species
GUGGCGAAAGGGUGAGUAAAGGAUAGAUAACCUGCCCGCGAGAGCGGGAUAAUCCAUCGAAAGAUGAAGUAAUACCGGAUGGUAUACUGUUUCUACGGAGACAGUAUUAAUGGAGGCUUCGGCUUUCGGUUGAGGAGGGGUCUAUUUCCUAUUAGCUUGUUGGUACGGUAACGGCGUACCAAGGCUGUGAUGGGUAGGGGGCCUUAGCGGGUGGCCCUCCACACUGGGAGUGAGACACUGCCCAGGUUCCUACGGGAGGCUGCAAUCGAGAAUCCUCCGCAAUGGGCGAAAGCCUGACGGGGUGACGCCGCGUGACUGAUGAAGGCCCUUACGGGUCGUAAAAGUCUUACAGGGAGUAUGAAAUAUACUAUAGCUAAUAUCUAUAGUAUUUGACGUCAAUCCCAGAUGAAGUCACGGCUAAAUUUGUGCCAGCAGCCGUGGUAAAACAAAUGUGGCAAGCGUUGUUCGGAAUCACUGGGCAUAAAGGGCAUGUAGGCGGUGUAGUAAGUUAACUGUGAAAUCCCCCGGCUCAACUGGGGAAUUGCAGUUAAUACUGCUAUACUAGAGUGCAGAAGAGGAGAGUGGAAUUCCAGGUGUAGCGGUGGAAUGCGAAGAUAUCUGGGAGAAGGCCGGUGGCGAAAGCGAGUCUCUGGUCUGUCACUGACGCUGAGAUGCGAAGGCGUAGGUAGCGAACGGGAUUAGAUACCCCGGUAGUC